GAACGAUCUUGUCACCAGCUUUCGUCCGAUAGUACCCUUGUUCGAAGUUUCUCAAAGUUUCUCGAGGUGUUUUGAAGUUGAAUAUUGUCGAUUUUGUUGGAGUUUUGGAUACAUUUCAACGGAGUUUGUCUUCUUCAGAAGAGUUGUUGGUAAACUGAAUUUUCUACAACACACAAGGCCAAGUAUUGCCUUCUCUGUUCAGCAUUUAAGUCAAUUCCUUCAGGUUCCACACAUGCUAGCUGGUAUACAUAUUCUCAGAUAUUUACUAAAUGACCCUGAUCUUGGCCUACUAUUAUCUAAUUCACCUGAUAUGGUUGCUUUUUCUGAUUCUAUUUGGGCAGCUUAUGCCCAAUCAAGAAGGUCAGUUACUGGUUAUUUUAUUACCCUUGGUGGUUCUCCUGUCUCGUGGAAGAGCAAGAAACAACCAAUGGUUUCACUAUCAUCUGCAGAGGCUAAGUACAGGGCCCUUAGAAAGGUUGUUACAGAGAUUUCUUGGUUGGUCAUUUAUUGGGAGAUUUGGGUUUAUCUGUUUCUCAGCCUGUACCUUUUUUUUGUGACAGCCAGGCUGCCCUUCACAUUGCAAGAAAUCCAGUUUUCCAUGAAUGCACCAAUCAUAUAGAUAUUGAUUGCCAUUUUGUACGAGACUGCUUGUCAUCUGCCUGAUUUCCCUUCAUUAUGUUUCUGCAACUGGGCAACUUGCUGACAUCUUCACCAAAUCUCUUGCUGGUCACUUGCAUCAUGAGCUUCUUGGCAAGCUUGGAGUCUUUACACCCUCCAGCUUGAGGGGGGGGGGGGUGUUAACCUUAGCAUAGAUCAGAAUAAUCCCACUUAAUAUUUGUUAGUUAGUUACAUUAUUGUUUUGUUGGUUAGUUGUAUUGUUGUAUUUGUUAGACAGAAGCCCAAGUGUAUUUUGGUUAUGUUAACGGGCCAGCUGUAAACAGCUAGAUACACAACCCACUUUCUAUUUACUUAGGCUGAAUUGGCCCAUUUGACUCUCAGAUUGUAAAUAACAUUUUUGUGGUUGAAUAAAAAUUCUCUCUCCUCCUUCGAUAA